rnacentral:piRNA from 1 species
UGAAGAUCUGCCUUAGUCUGAGGUGAUC